AAUAUUGGGACAUAUAAAAAAAAGCAACUCUGUUCCGCAGAGUAGCUGUUGACAUUAUAGUUGCGCAGGAACUUUGUUGACUCUAGAGAACCUCGGGCAAAACGCACAUGCCCGUGGCGGCAACGACUUUGCAUGCAGAUGUCAUCCAUAUCAACUGUCGAUGCCAGUUUCUGCGCCUACCAUGGUGACCACGGAUAAUGGGGAUUCAGAGUUCCAUUCCGUACAGGAACCCUGAGAAACGGCUACCACAUGCAAGGAAGGCAGCAGGCGUGCAAAUAACCCACUCCCAAGAUAGGAAGGUAGUGA